rnacentral:rRNA from 1 species
CCUACGGGAGGCAGCAGUGGGGAAUAUUGCGCAAUGGGGGAAACCCUGACGCAGCAACGCCGCGUGAGUGAGGAAGGACUUCGGUCUGUAAAGCUCUGUUAAUGAGGAAAAAUGGUAGUUGGUCUAAUAGGCCGAUUAUUUGAUGGUACUCAUAGAGGAAGCACCGGCUAACUUCGUGCCAGCAGCCGCGGUAAUACGAAGGGUGCAAGCGUUGUUCGGAUUUAUUGGGCGUAAAGCGCGCGUAGGCGGACCCGCAAGUCAGAUGUGAAAUCUCGAGGCUCAACCUCGAAACUGCGUCUGAAACUACAGGUCUAGAAUCUCGGAGGGGGAAGGGGAAUUUCGCAUGUAGGGGUAAAAUCCGUAGAUAUGCGAAGGAACACCAGAGGCGAAGGCGCCUUCCUGGACGAGUAUUGACGCUGAGGCGCGAAAGCGUGGGGAUCAAACAGGAUUAGAUACCCUGGUAGUCCACGCUGUAAACGAUGAACACUAGGUAUUGGAGGAUUUGACCCCUUCAGUGCCGUAGCUAACGCGUUAAGUGUUCCGCCUGGGAAGUACGGUCGCAAGACAAAACUUAAGGAAUUGACGGCNGAGAGNGCGAGACGACGACGAGGGAGGAGG